GAAUAUUGGACAAUGGGGGGAACCCUGAUCCAGCCAUGCCGCGUGUGUGAAGAAGGCCUUUUGGUUGUAAAGCACUUUAAGCGAGGAGGAGGCUACUCUAGUUAAUACCUAGAGAUAGUGGACGUUACUCGCAGAAUAAGCACCGGCUAACUCUGUGCCAGCACCGGCGGUAAUACAGAGGGUGCAAGCGUUAAUCGGAUUUACUGGGCGUAAAGCGCGCGUAGGUGGUCAAUUAAGUCCAAUGUGAAAUCCCCGAGCUUACCUUGGGAAUUGCAUUCGAUACCGGUUGGCUAGAGUAUGGGAGAGGAUGGUAGAAUUCCAGGUGUAGCGGUGAAAUGCGUAGAGAUCUGGAGGAAUACCGAUGGCGAAGGCAGCCAUCUGGUCUAAUACUGACACUGAGGUGCGAAAGCAUGGGGAGCAAACA
rnacentral:rRNA from 1 species